GGUUAAAGGUACCCGUACCGCAAACCGACACAGGUGGGUGAGGAGAGUAUCCUAAGGCCAGCGAGAGAACUGUUGUUAAGGAACUCGGCAAAAUGACCCCGUAACUUAGGGAUAAGGGGUGCCACCAUCAGGUGGCCGCAGAGAAUAGGCCCAAGCGACUGUUUACCAAAAACAUAGGUUUCUGCUAAGUCGCAAGACGAUGUAUAGGAGCUGACGCCUGCCCGGUGCUGGAAGGUUAAGGGGAUCUGUUAGAGCAAUCGAAGCAGUGAACUUAAGCCCCAGUAAACGGCGGCCGUAACUAUAACGGUCCUAAGGUAGCGAAAUUCCUUGUCGGGUAAGUUCCGACCCGCACGAAAGGCGUAACGAUUUGGGCACUGUCUCAACAACAGACUCGGUGAAAUUGUAAUUCCGGUGAAGAUGCCGGAUACCUGCGACAGGACGGAAAGACCCCAUGGAGCUUUACUGUAGCUUGACAUUGGGUCUUGGUACUACAUGUACAGGAUAGGUGGGAGGCUUUGAAACCAGGACGCCAGUUUUGGCGGAGCCAUCCUUGGGAUACCACCCUUGUAGUACUGGGACUCUAACCAUAGGCCAUGAAUCUGGUCUUGGGACACUGUCAGGUGGGCAGUUUGACUGGGGCGGUCGCCUCCCAAAAGGUAACGGAGGCGCUCAAAGGUUCUCUCAGUACGGUCGGAAAUCGUACGUAGAGUGUAAAGGCAAAAGAGAGCUUGAUUGCAAGACAUACAGGUCGAGCAAGGAUGAAAAUCGGACUUAGUGAUCCGGUGGUUCUGCGUGGAAGGGCCAUCGCUCAACGGAUAAAAGCUACCCUGGGGAUAACAGGCUUAUCUCCCCCAAGAGUCCACAUCGACGGGGAGGUUUGGCACCUCGAUGUCGGCUCAUCACAUCCUGGGGCUGUAGUAGGUCCCAAGGGUUGGGCUGUUCGCCCAUUAAAGUGGUACGCGAGCUGGGUUCAGAACGUCGUGAGACAGUUCGGUCCCUAUCCGUCGCAGGCGUAGGAAAUUUGAGAAGACCUGUCCUUAGUACGAGAGGACCGGGAUGGACGUACCUCUGGUGUACCAGUUGUCCUGCCAAGGGCAUGGCUGGGUAGCUAUGUACGGAAUGGAUAAGCGCUGAAAGCAUCUAAGCGCGAAGCCAACUUCAAGAUAAGAUUUCCCACCGCAAGGGUAAGACCCCAGAAAGACUAUCUGGUUGAUAGGUCGAAGGUGUAAGUGCAGCAAUGUAUUUAGCUUAUCGAUACUAAUAGGUCGAGGACUUGACC
rnacentral:rRNA from 1 species